AGCGAACGCUGGCGGCAGGCCUAAUACAUGCAAGUCGAACGGUCUCUUCGGAGGCAGUGGCGGACGGGUGAGUAACGCGUGGGAAUAUGCCCUUUGGUACGGAACAACUGAGGGAAACUUCAGCUAAUACCGUAUGUGCCCUUCGGGGGAAAGAUUUAUCGCCAUUGGAGUAGCCCGCGUUGGAUUAGGUAGUUGGUGGGGUAAAGGCCUACCAAGCCUACGAUCCAUAGCUGGUCUGAGAGGAUGAUCAGCCACACUGGGACUGAGACACGGCCCAGACUCCUACGGGAGGCAGCAGUAGGGAAUCUUGCGCAAUGGGCGAAAGCCUGACGCAGCCAUGCCGCGUGAAUGAUGAAGGUCUUAGGAUUGUAAAAUUCUUUCACCGGGGACGAUAAUGACGGUACCCGGAGAAGAAGCCCCGGCUAACUUCGUGCCAGCAGCCGCGGUAAU
rnacentral:rRNA from 1 species